CCCCUCGCACCCCCAGGCUCCGGAGCUGCACUGCGGCUGCGCGGGGUGUGGGGUUGGCACUGCUGCUCCGCCCUGCCCCGAGGUUCGAUGCUCUUGUGAAGUACCCCAGUGAUUGUGCUGUGACCGGCCGGCCUCUAGUCUAGGGAGUGGAUUUUAAGCGUGAACACCCAGUUAACUGUCAGAAACUCCAGGCUAGUGGCUGACCCAUUCUAGAACCGGAGUCGGAGUACAUUCCCACUCGGAGACUCGGAAUUUGCACAGCGGAGUAAAUAAUGCGAGAAAGCUGUGAAGAAGCUGAGAGGGGGUCUUGUCUACACAGAGAAGGACAAGGCCUGUGGAGCUGCAGAGAUGGACAACAGACAGCUGUAAGUACACAUGGGCAGGAAUUGUGUGUUUGUCCUAAAGGCAGGGCAAGAAGGCUGCCUCCAGCACAGAGAGCAGCAGAGGCUGUUACAGAGAAUUUUUGGGAGGGAGGACAUUGUUAGAAUGGCAACAGAGGAAGUUGAUUUUGGCAGCAGGCUUGGGAAGGACUUGAGGAGGGAAAAUGUAGAAAGGAGGCUUUUCCCAAGAGGAGACAAGUCUGUACAACACACUUAGGUGGGGUCGCAGCAACAGAAAAGACUGAACGUACGAGAGUUGUGUUUUCCUCUUCAUCAAACCCUGUUUUUCAGCUGUCUUCCCACUGGGUUUUGAAUUCAGCUUUCAUCCAGACUUACUGGUUUUCAUGCUGCCAAGAGCGUGUUGUAAGAUUGACUGCUUUCACCACCUGUGAGGACCUUACUCUGGGUUGGACAAGACUUGAGGGGAGCUGAUCAGUUUUCAAGUGUAAAGGUCUGGGCAUUCCGAACUCCAAUAAGAUCGGUCACACCUUGAGCUUGAAAGGGUGAAAUAAAACAGCCAUUGUUCCUGAUGUCAUUCUGUGUCGUGAGUGUAUGGUGGAAGGUUGGGGUGGCAUACGGCUCUCACUCAGGCUUUCUGAACAGCAUUAAGCUUGUGGGAACGCGAGCUUCGGUCCUCUGAGCCCUGCUCCUCCCAGUGUUUAUCCAGCGCAGUUCAUUGUUGGAUAAACACCUAGUAGUCUGCAAAUUUUCUCUCCUUUGUGUUUUGUUUGUGUUUUGAAGCUGUUGCUAAUUUCAUCUCUACUGGCUGCUUUGUGUUUUUAAAACUAUAUCUGGACAAAAUGUGAAUGUUAAUAUGUAUUUGACAGCAAUGCUGGGAAUUAAGAUGGCAACUGUCAAGAAGAAAAUAACACACACACACACACACAGUUAUUUUUAUGCUUGCUUUUUUUAAAUCAUGGAAUUUAAGAAAUUUAACAAACAAACAUCAAUACAUCAAGGGUGAGACCUUUUUUACUUUCUUUCUCUUUUACAUAGUGACUUUGGUUUUAGGGGCAGCGCCAUUAUCGUGGCAGUUUUCACUGGUGUCAUGCAGGAAAAAAAAUCAUCUCAAGAUUCCUGCUUUCUCAUCCCAACUGAGGUUUUCUAGGGAAGAAGCUAGCCACUGGGUGGAGUGCCUGGCAGCCAUAGAUCGUGCCUCCAGACCCCGAAGCGAAGACUUUCCCCAGGAACUGUGUCCUUGAUGACUAAAUGCAAUUGUCUAGAGGCUGAGAAAGACUGAAACACGGCCCGAGAACUCCAUUGGCCUGGGUAAAAUCAGUCCUCUCUCUGCUGUCAUACCGCCCACAGCAGAGGGAGGGGGGAGUUGGGUGGCCAACCAGGCUGCCAGCAGCCAAGCACACUAUGCCACCUGGCCCUUUCAAUAAGGUGCUAAGAAAUCAGCUGUAGUGCAGAAGCUCAUAGUGGAGACUGGGCCCCACCUUCUCCUAAGUGACCACCGUGAUGAAUUCCAUCAGGUCAAAGCUUUAUAUGACUCAUGGCAAGCAGAAGUCCAAGCUACUGAAGACUCUCAUCCACUCCAUGCUUUGGAAUCUGUGGCUAUACCCUUUCCCAGGUUCUUUCAAAUUGUAGUCAUGCUGUCUCAAACAUCCCACUUACACAGGACUAAAGGUGCUGUCCUUGCUUCUCCUUGCUGCAUCUAUAAUUGUUCAGUGUUCUUCCUUCUUAAAAAGAAGAUGCCAGGUAUGGCGGUGAACACCUACAAUCCCAAUACUUGAGAAACUAGAGCAGAAGAAUUACAAAUUCCAGACUAGCAAGAUCCUGUCUCAAGAAAAAAAAAUAAUAAUAAUAGUAAAAAUGACUAAGGAAAAGAAAACAAAGUAACAAACAAACCCCUCAACUUCUUUGAGACACAUCUUGUAUCAGACAUGAGUCUUUAAAUCUUUAUUAUUGUUUGUCAUGUAUCCCAGUCUGGCCUCAGACUUGCUGCUUGAAUGUAAUGAGGCUAGAUUUGAACUCCUGAUCCUUCUGCCUCCACUUCCCUCUAGUUUCAGGCACAGCACCACCACACCCACCUCCACUACUCUUCUUUAUGACUCAUCACUCUCCUGCUAACUAGUUUUGUUUGGCCGCAGUUUUAGCAUCCAGGCUUCCCUCUCUCCUCACUUCUACCCCCGUAUCCUACACUUGAGGAUGCUGUGCUUAGUUUCCUGAGACUGAGACAUUCUAACCAUUCUCUCAAUCAGGGAAGCUCCUUGAACAAAGGUAAACAACUUAAGAUAGCCUCAGAAAGUCCCUGAAACUGAACAAAUUCACUAGGCCUCUCCCUGCAACUGUAAACAAUAAAAGCUUCCUCUUGCAAGGAAGAAAUCUAGCCACAAAGAAGACUCAGUUGGCAGGGGAGCUGCAAAGACUUCAAAGGAGAGAAGCUGCAAAGGAGACUCUGAGAGCAGACCAGCUGCCUGGAAGAAGCAGAAACCAGCCGAGACUCCUGGAAGAGGCUUAGACCACCUGAGGCACCUGGAAAGGACCCUCUCCAAACUGUGCAGCUGCCUGUAUGCUGUGCAGUGUACUCCAGGCUCCCAGCUGUGUGGGCAGCCACCCAUGCUGGGAUGGCUUUAGUAACGCAGUUGUCUUUGAGUCUUUUCUGCUCCUGUAAGUAACCCAUCACCCAUACUCCUGUAAGUAACCUCAAUAAAACUCAUUGUUUCACCACUUUGGUCUGUCAUGGGUUCCCUAUCUGGGGUGAGGAGAUUUGCAUCUGUCCGGAAAAAAUUUUUCACACAACACUUGGUGACUUCAGCAUCCACAAAAAUUAUCCUUUUAGGCACCGUAGCCCCUCAGCCCCUCAGUCUUAUGUCUGUUAUUGCUUUUACCCAUUCCAUUCCAGCUAGACACCUCCAUGGUCAUGCACCUUAGAGAACUUCCUACCACAUAACCGUAUUGCCAGCAAAAAUCUUGAUUUCUAGA